UCUCUCGCCAAAGCCCAGUCCUGCCAGACUUUCAACCAAAAUUUGGUGCUUUUUUGUUCGUAUUUUCAUUUAGUUCUUUUGUUAAAGAAAAAUUUGGUGCUUUUGUUCGUAUUUUCAUCUAGUUCCUCUAGGGCAAUUUCAUUUCACAUUUGUGUCUAAAAUACCGAGUGAAAAUACCUUUCCGCCAUUUUGUUUGUUUUGCGAAAAUCAUUAAUUGUACUGCAGUACAAUUAAUGAAAUAAUUGUACUCCUCUCAACCAA